rnacentral:rRNA from 1 species
UGAGGAACAUGACCUUCGGCGGGGGAUAGCCGGCCCAACGGCCGGGUAAUACCGCGUACGACCACAUGGGGACAUCCCCGAGUGGUGAAAGCAGCAAUGCGCCGAUGGAGUGCCUCGCGUCCUAUCAGCUAGUUGGUGAGGUAACGGCUCACCAAGGCGACGACGGGUAGCCGGCCUGAGAGGGUGACCGGCCACACGUGGGACUGAGACACGGCCCAGACCUCCGUACGGGGAGCAGCAGG